rnacentral:rRNA from 1 species
CAUGCAAGUCGAGGGGCAGCACAGGUAGCAAUACCGGGUGGCGACCGGCGCACGGGUGAGUAACGCGUAUGCAACUUGCCUAUCAGAGGGGGAUAACCCGGCGAAAGUCGGACUAAUACCGCAUGAAGCAGGGGCCCCGCAUGGGGAUAUUUGCUAAAGAUUCAUCGCUGAUAGAUAGGCAUGCGUUCCAUUAGGCAGUUGGCGGGGUAACGGCCCACCAAACCGACGAUGGAUAGGGGUUCUGAGAGGAAGGUCCCCCACAUUGGUACUGAGACACGGACCAAACUCCUACGGGAGGCAGCAGUGAGGAAUAUUGGUCAAUGGGCGCGAGCCUGAACCAGCCAAGUCGCGUGAGGGAUGAAGGUUCUAUGGAUCGUAAACCUCUUUUAUAAGGGAAUAAAGUGCGGGACGUGUCCCGUUUUGUAUGUACCUUAUGAAUAAGGAUCGGCUAACUCCGUGCCAGCAGCCGCGGUAAUACGGAGGAUCCGAGCGUUAUCCGGAUUUAUUGGGUUUAAAGGGUGCGUAGGCGGCCUUUUAAGUCAGCGGUGAAAGUCUGUGGCUCAACCAUAGAAUUGCCGUUGAAACUGGGGGGCUUGAGUAUGUUUGAGGCAGGCGGAAUGCGUGGUGUAGCGGUGAAAUGCAUAGAUAUCACGCAGAACCCCGAUUGCGAAGGCAGCCUGCCAAGCCAUUACUGACGCUGAUGCACGAAAGCGUGGGGAUCAAACAGGAUUAGAUACCCUGGUAGUCCACGCAGUAAACGAUGAUCACUAGCUGUUUGCGAUACACUGUAAGCGGCACAGCGAAAGCGUUAAGUGAUCCACCUGGGGAGUACGCCGGCAACGGUGAAACUCAAAGGAAUUGACGGGGG